GUGGCGGUAGCUCAGCUGGUCAGAGCAGGGGACUCAUAAUCCCUGGGUCGUGGGUUCGAGCCCCACCCGCCGCA
rnacentral:tRNA from 1 species